ACCUGUUCACUUAAAUUCGGGUUUCUCCUCAUGCUUGAAGAGAAUUUCUGGGCUUCAGGAAUCUCAUCUGCAAGAAGAUGAAUCCACUGUGGUUCUUCCUCUUCCUGGUGUCAGCUCCCAGAGGUUCCCUGUCGCAGGUGCAGCUGCAGGAGUCGGGACCCAGCCUGGUGAAGCCCUCACAGACCCUCUCCCUCACCUGCACUGUCUCUGGAUUCUCAUUAACCAGCUAUGGUGUAUCCUGGGUCCGACAGCCUCCAGGAAAGGGGCUGGAGUGGGUUGGGGGUAUAUAUGGUGGUGGAAGCGCAUAUUAUAACCCAACUCUUAAGUCCCGGCUCCGCAUCACCACGGACACCUCCAAGAGCCAAGUCUACUUAUCGCUGAGCAGCCUGACAACUGAGGACACAGCCGUGUAUUACUGUGCGAGAGACACAGUGAGGGGAAGUCAGUGUGAGCCCAGACACAAACCUCCCUGCACGGAGGCCCGUUACCACCAGGGGUCGCACAGGACUCACCAAAUGUGGAAGGAAGAGACACACCCUCCUGUUUUGGGGCACCUGCACAAGCAUUCUGAAUUCUGUAGCAGGCAGCGUUAUAGACUCUAACGCCAGAGCGCUCCAAUACUGCACAUGCAAUUAUCCUCGUUAUUCACAGAUUCCAUAAGUGCAAAUUCACCUACUUCUACCUUUUAUGAGCACCCCAAAAUAAAUACUGUCAUUUUGUGGUCAUUCACGGACA